UUGUGGGGCAGACGGGGCCAAGAAGGCAAAUUCCUCACAGAGCCACAUUGCCGUGGUGAGGACACAAAGAGUUAAGCCGCAGGUUGCUGGGGGAGCUCAGGUGUGGCUCUGCAUUCCUUCCUGGCCUCCAGGAUUACAGCACCAGCUUGCCAGGCUUUGGGGAGAGGCUGGUUUUGGAUAGCUCUGAGGAAGCAACCAGUGCUCAGGAGAGCAAAGUAAGUGAGACUGAAUGUGACUGCUGCUGCUUGGGCAAGGAGAUGGUGAUGGUGAUGUCCUGCCUCACCUGCCUGGAGCAUCAAGCUGUGGAGCUGCUGGAGCUUCUGCCCCUUUGAGGACACCGAGCUGCUGCCCCACAGGAGGAACUGCUUCAGACAAGCCUGGUGUAGGAGUGAAAGCUGAAGCCUCCUGAGAAAGCAUUUCCCAGACUAUGGAAUGACACCGAUACCAGCAUGGUGAGGCAGAACACAGCUGGGUUUGGUCCCUGCUUACUGUCAGUGCCGUGGGUGAUCUGCCUCCCUGUGCAAUGAUGGUAACAACUCUGCCCAGUUUCUAUCAGAUAGUUUCUGAGGGGCAUCAGCAGAGUUCAUAGAGAACAGGACUUAGUCUGUGUUGCCCUAAUUUCAGAUUAGGAUGAGUGUUCAGAAGAGGUCUCUAGCAUGGGAUCUGCUGGAUGGUUUUGUGCAGUUCAGUCUGUGUUCAUUAAAGCCAAGCAAGCAAGGAAUGAACUGCUCUAAAAGCCACAGUUUUGUCUGCUAUCUGAAGGAUGAAGCCCGUGUUUGAUGCUGUGGCAUGAGUUAAAAAGCCAAGGCUCCCUGGAUUGAGCUCUUAACUCUAUAUGGGUUUGGCUUUCAAGCAUCUCUGUAAUAUGCACAGUUACAGAUCCAGUGUGGAUGCAUUUACAUCAGGCUGAAGGGAAAAGCUCUCUCCGACCAGGUGAGUUUUCAUGGAGCUUGAAACCUGCUUGUAGUUAUUUCUGCACCUGUGUAAGCCUGUGCUUGCUUAUAAAUGCUCUGUGCUGUCACCAAGGGGAAAAAACCAAAGGCCCAGAAUAUUGCAUGUGAAGCAGCCUCCAACCCACCUCGCUGCCCUUUCUCUGUGAUAAGCUCAGCACUUCGGAUUCACAGUGUUCCACUGUGACAGCAGGGCAGGAACCCCCUGAAUUUCUUUGAUUUGCUGAAACUGGAACUUUUCAGAGGUCCUGAUAAAGCUUCCCUUAAGAACGUGUUUCAAAUCCAGGGGGGACUUUCUUGUCAGACCUAGGGAGAAUGAGAAACAGCCAGGCAAAAAGGGCAUGAACCUGCAGUGUAAGCAACAGAGACCAAACUCCCUCCUCCUCUUGCUCGAGACAAGAUGCAUAACCCAUCGUCCCGGUGAGUCCCCUGAGAACAGGGUCAGGCCGGGAGCUAACUCUGCUUUAUCUUCUGGUGAGUAAUUUCAGGUCUCAUCCUGAUGGAAUGGGAAAACCGUGGUGAUUACAGGAUGCUCUGGGAGCUGACAGUGCUGCUUCUUGCCUGGCUUCAGUGACAGCUCGUGAUGAGGCCUUAGCAGGUUGUGGGGUGAUCAAAGGGAGAGGGGAGGGAUUCCCUGGACCACGAGGGAUGCUGGGUCUCACCCCAGCACCACCUUAGAGCAGAGGGCAAGCAAGACCAGGGGUUUGUGCCUCCUCCCUUUGGCUUUAUCCUGGUCUUUCUUUCAAAUGAUAAACAGCAGCAGUCAGCCGAUAAUGAUUUAGUAUGUGGAAAGCCGGAGCUUUAUCGGUGUCCCCAUCCCAGAUCCUUUUAAGUCUCCAGUAGAAAUCUCAUGAGUAGCAAGAUCUAAAUGGGCUGGGUUUGUACCCACACAAGGUAACAUGGCCAAGCCUCAUAAAUUCCACCAGUUUUUAUAUAUAUAUAUAUGUGUAUCAUCCCAGUUUGCUCAGCAAAAGCUAUCAGGAACCAGCAGUGAUGAAGGGAAAGGCUUGUGCUGGCUGGGGUCAGUCUCGAAGCGCACUUUGCACCCCAUAUGUCAUCCGAGAUGGGGCUCAAGCGCUGGCACUGCAGUGUGUCUGGGAUGCUGAACCGGCCUCCCUCCUGUUUCCAGGCAGGAAUAAUGUCUCCUAAACACGUGUCAAGGCAGCCCUGCAAACAGCUCGAAUGCCUGUAGGCGGCAGGAGAGUGUGUCUGAUGGCAGCUUCUCAUCCAGCUAUUCACGAAACACUGGCAGGUCCUGGAGUCCUUUCUGUUCCCUGUCCCCCAUUGUUAUAUGUGGCUGUAGGUUGGGAGAAGCAGAGGCGCUGUGCAGAGCACCCCGAGCCCCAGCCUGUGUCCCCAGGUGCUGACUGGGGUCGCUGAGCUGGAAUCAGGCCCCACAUCUGCCUCCACUCACAGAAUUCCCUGUUUGGAUGGAAGCUCUAGAGCACUGGCUGGCAGGUUCCCAUCCUCUGGAUAACAUAAGGAGCUGCUCCUGCACAGCCAGGAACCAUUGCCUUGUCCCUGUGUGUGAGUACCAGGUACCAUGACCCGUUGUAAGUGCUGGGACAGCAAUCGUUUCUCUCCUUCCUUUCAUUUCUGAAGAGAUCUGCAGGAUCAAAAUGAUGGAGUCUGCAGCCAGACCCCAUCUCUGCCCCGCAGCCAAAGACAAGGAGUGAUUCCCACCUGGGUUCGGUGCUGACCUCUGCCUUUCUGGGAGAGGUCGAGGGUGGGAAAUGAUUUGUGGAGAUGCUGAGUGAAAUCCAUCUCAUCUGUGCUGGAUGCACAUCUCCCUCAGCAGCGGUGCAGCAGGCUCUGGAGGUGUCUGUCUCCUGCCACUGACUGCAGAGAGAGCCUCAGGGGCUGCCUCAGACACAAGAACACUUGGGAAAGAAGAAUAAAGGUUUAUGGAUUAAACUCCCUGGUAGGAAACUCUUACAAGGAAUUCAGUUCCUUCCAUUCAUUUCAGGAGAAUUAAACUGAGUCAUGGUCAUUUUAAUUAUGCUAAAAAAUGGUACAAUGUGACUUAACUUAAUCCACUUGAAAAAUCAAUUCAGAUGAAUUUUCUGGGGUGUCUUGCACAGUUUGCCUUUGGUUUUUCACGUGUUGAUUAGUUUUAUUGUGCAUGACCAUAGCUUCCAUCAAGCACAGAAAAGGCUCCCUGUGCAGACUUUAAAUACAAAGCUCAUCUGCUGGGUAACCAGAACAGAGAAUGCUCCCGGAUAGGUUCUGUUAGCAAUUGCACAGAGUUCCUGUGGUUAGCAGGGACCUCUGGAGGUCCCAAGUCCAGCUCCUCAGCAGGGGCAAGCUGCUCAGGUACGUGUCCUUUGGGUUUGAAUAUCUGCAAGGAUGGAGGCUCCAAAACCUCUCUGGGCAAACCUAUCCAAUAUUGGACCACCUUUCCAGUAAAAACCACCCAACUUUCUCUUUUGCUUCAAACCCAUCCUUUUCUAUUUUUAUGUUUCUCUUAGUAUGUGAUGCAGAGCUGGAGACAACCUCAAACUGACCAGCACUGCUUCCUGCGCCCACACCAUCCAUCCAGUGAGGUCUGAACUUUACCAUCAACUGCUGUCUGACAAGAGUUUGUAUUUCAGCUGCUACUAUUUUGAGGUUUAGAUAUGUGGGGCUGUUUGCAUUGGCACAGUGUCCAAUGGAAGUCCAUGGUACAGUCCAUGGAAGCAUGGACCAGAGAGGUUCAGAAAGCAAUAACUGCACCUCAUGGAACAGCUUCCCCUAGAGCAUCCUGCAGCAUUGGAAAGGGUUUUCUGUAUGGCACAGUGAUGUGGAGAUGCCCUUCAAUGUGGAUGUGUUUGGUAGGAUGGGGACCUUGUCCUUUUACAGGGUCGCCUAUGAUGACCUGACCUUGAUGCUGGAGUAUGAACAAAGAGCUAUGAGUGAGGCUGCUGCAGGCAUCGCUGUGGCAGAGCCGAGUCUCCCAUGAGCAGCUCAAGCCCCUUCCUUCUCCAUAAGCAGCUGUAAAGCGCCAGGGGUGAGCAGGGAGCGGGAGAGCUGCGAAGUGAAACCAAGGCUGAGGCAAGGAGCAGGCUCCGUGCUGCGGAGAGGCGCAUCCGAGCAGCGGACACCCGCAGGAGGGUGCUCUCAGCCCGCGGCUGGCGCUGCCGCCUUCCUCUCCCUCCUCCUCUCCCUCCUAACUGGGCUGUGCGCUCUGCUAAGGGACCUCUGGGGACCCAAAGGGAACCUCACAGCACCCUUGCACCCAGGGCGCAAAUGGGUGGGAAGCAGAGAAAAUUCCCUGCACACACUGCUGCUCUGCAGCAAGAUGGGCCAAGCUGCAGGGGGCUGCUGAGAAACUCCGUAUCCACCGUCCAUAAGCCAACAAGGAAAGAGAAAGAAGCAUUUACAAAGCAAUUUUCAGAGGAGGUGAGUCCAUCAUCGCUUGUUCUGCAAGUGGGGAAACUGAGGCAGGGGAUGGAGAAACCUUUUGCCAGUGGUCACUAAGCAGAGGAAUGCACCUGGGUCUCAGGGUGCCCAGUCAGCACUGGGUCAAGUGCGGUGUUCAUAUCGAGUCCCUGCCUUCAUCCCAGCUACUUUCAGCCUUGGGGCUGUGAUGGAUAAAUGUUUAUUGUGCUGUACAAAACCAAACCACAAGUGGCAAGGUAGGGUAGAGCAAAAGAAAAGCACCAAGGCUUGGGAUCUAUGCACAGUUCCUCUGGUUUUCCUGGGGAUCAAAACACCAAAUAAAGCCAAACCAAAGCCGUUGGCUGUUGAAAUCCAAAUGUUUUAAGUUUAUUCUUAUUUAACAUUAAGAAACAUAUGUGAAAUGGAAAAAGAAAUCCCCUUUCUUAUGACCCAGUAAGUAAAGAGCUAGUGUUUCAUAAAAGGGUCCAACAAGAUCCAGUGUCUCAGAGAUGAAGCAGUGGCAUCAGGAGAGGAGAUGCCCAUUUCCACAGGGAGGAAAUGGACAUCUAAAUGUGGACACUAAAUUCCACAGUGAGGAAAUGGACCCUAACCAGAGCCCUUUGCAGGUCUGGGGUUUCUUUUCCACUGGCAAAGGCCAGUAGACGAGUAAAUGUGUAGCUAAAGGAGAAGUUGCUCUGGUGGUGGGUGUGUAACAGCUGGUGCUUAGGGAGGCUCCCCAGUCUGUGUUAUGAGGAAUGUCAAAUUACACAAUUAACUCAGUCCCUGUUGGUUUUAAGCCUUAUGGAUCUCUAAUCCUAAGGGUGCACUCAUGGAUUUACUGCCAUUUCACCAGUACUCUAUUACAAGAGUGUUUUGUUCCAAGACACUAACUAGAGCAUGGGGCUGUAAAUCACAGCUGUGCAUCAACCCAGCAGAAGAGCAUCUGAUGCUGUAGAGGGUCCAAAGGAGCUGUGUGGCUGAAGCAGAGGCUCUGUGGUCUUGGGGGGCUUUGAAAUGAAGGUAUAAGAAGCACUGAAGUUCCAGUCAGCCUCUGUCAGCCCUAGGGAUGGGGCAGAGCAUCGCUGCUUCUCUCUGCAGAAGUUUCCCUCCUCCGGGCAGCACCCACACCUGGAAUGUCCCUGGCUGUGUCCAUGCCUGCCCUUGUCCUGCCAGAAAUAAGACUUCAUGUAGGACAGAUGUGCUUCCAGUUCAUCCUGGCACGGGCAGAAAGGAGAAACAGCCACAGACCUUGCUUGUCUUGAGCUGUUACAGACAUGGGACCAGCCACCGACCCAACUCCCACGUUGCAAAACCAGCUCCCGUAUCCAGGCUCAUUCCUGCUCUCCCUUCAUCCCCACCAAAUUCCAUUUCCCAGACAGGCAGGGAUCAUGAGAUGGCAUUGUAUAGCCCCAUGCCCCAGUGCCACAGCUAAAGGCAGAGCUGGAGAAGCCUCCACCCCAUGCUGGCUCUGCUGCUCUGCUCAGCUCUCACUUUAGCUUGGCAGCCCGUGCCUGAGAGUUACAUAUUUUAUCCCUGGAGUGCCAAGCUAUUCCAUCCCCAGGCUGCGUUCAGGGAUUGGCAUGCAAAUCAGCACACUGCUGCUGCCUCAGACUGGGAUAAUUAAAAGUGAAGUUGUAAAACAAGCAGCAUCAAUUUUUGGUGCACGUCCCCAGCAACACAUGGUGAUUGGACUGAGCGAGGAGACAUUUCCAGCUACGCAGCAAACUCCAAAUAGCCUGGAGAGAAUACAUGGGAAUUCGGCUUGUGCAGCAAUUUCAGAUGUCAAAACAAGUUUCCUUGUUAAUAUGAAACUAUCUGGACUUUGCAUUUUUAAUUAAA